GUUUCCGUAGUGUAGUGGUUAACACGUUUGCCUCACACGCGAAAGGUCCCCAGUUCGAAACUGGGCGAAAACA
rfam:Danio rerio chromosome 4, GRCz11 reference primary assembly.